GUUAUACUCCCUUCGGCCCAAAAUUCUUGUCUUAGUUUUGUUUAUAAAUGGAUGUACCUAAAUAUUAAAACGUGACUAGAUACAUUCAUAUCUUAACAAAUCUAAGACAAGAAUUUUGGGACGGAGGGAGUAUCUU
rfam:Hordeum vulgare subsp. vulgare, WGS project CAJW01000000 data, contig: morex_contig_46086